AACCUUAUGGACCUGCGGGCGUAUACCUGCGGAAGGAUCAUUAUCGAGUUGCAAAACUCCAACCCUUUGUGAACAUACCUCAGUCGUUGCUUCGGCGGUGGACGGCCUGUUUUUCGGAACGGCCGGAAGCCGCCGGAGGUUCCAAACUCGUAUUUUUUUAGUGUAUCUCUGAGCCUGAAAACAAAUAAUCAAAACUUUUAGCAAUGGAUCU
rnacentral:misc_RNA from 1 species